GAGAGUGGAAUAGAGAGAAAGGCAUCGCCACGGGCGCUGAGACAUACACAGAGAAAUCAGGAAGAAGCGGGCCCAUUGAGGUACUUGAGAUACAAGUGGAAGAGACGCACGCUGUUCGACCCUGGUUGAUCAGGGAGGGAGGAGCCAAAGCGGAGGCCAAGCAUCAACCUUCUGCUACAUAAAGUGUUAAUGGCUCUCAAACGGCAGGAGACAAAUUCACACUUUGACUUUUGAGCACUAAACAACGUCCAGGCGCAGCAGUGCCGGGGCAACGCUACUGUCACACAGUGCAAACAGGACGAGCAGUCGCUGUGUGUGAGCACAUACAGAUGAAUUUAUAGUUAGUGGAGGUGAUAUUUUUGUUCAUAUAAAUGGUUAAAUUAAAGAUUACAAUACUGCUGAAUCUCUAAAGGGGGGCGAGUUCAGAUGAAGAGAUUCAAGACGAGAGCGAAUUGAUGUCAGCCAGUAUUUGAUAGAUGUCUACACAGACUUUUGCUCUGUGCAUACUCAAAUGGAAAUCAAUAGCUCCACUCAACCGAUGGAAUUUGCCUUUUUAAGAAUUGUAAUUGUGUCUGGAGAGCCCAACAGGUCCGCCUGUGAGCAAAAACGCUGCUCUGCUGGACUGUAGAUAAGGAGAAAACAAUAUGUGCCAUAUGCACAAUCACAGUGUAUUUUUUUGGGAGAAACUAAUGUUUUCAAAGGAAUGACGAUGUGGCCACUGAUUUGUGUCCAGACAUUAUGUUCAUUGUCCAUCUAAAUCUGUUCGCUCGACUGGUGCCAUGCAAGCUAUGUUCUUUUAUUUUUUUCUCCACAACAACAUGCAGAGAUUCAGUCCAGUGUGGCAUAUAGUUACAGCUUUAAAGGAUUAUUGAAGAAGUAAUAAUUUGCAUCAAAUUUUUCUUUGUAUACGAAUAUACAUGUUUGAUAUCAAUAUAUUUCAGGCAUUUUUCUACAGAGACUUUAACAUUUAAAGAGAUGAUAUUUUUGAUAUUGUGUUGGAUGACUGAGAGGUAUUUUGACGAAAGCUGACAUUCCCUCGAGGUGCGUGUUUUUCAGCAGGGCAGAGCAGGAUGAGUUAUUUAUAUAUACAGGAUGGUGUUUGUAUGGAUGGAAAAAAAAAACUUCAGUACAAAAAAAAUACACAGAACGGGGCGGGUGGCAUUUUAAGAAAGAAAAUGUACGGCGGUGAAGAAAAGUGGCGUAAACCAAAUACCUAGUUGUGCUUUAUCAGACAGGAGGCAUGGGGCUAAAUGAAUGCAUGACUGACUCUUCACUUUGUCCUGCCAUCACUGUGUUUUUCUAUGCAUUUCUGUGGAGAGGCUGUCUGUUGGUGGGUCCAACAUGCAGGGUGCUCUGCUCUCCAUGAUAUUAGAGUUAAGGAGUAAUUCUCUCUCAUUUCCUCAUAUGAUGUCCAUCAGGUUAAUCCUGCAGUCACUGUAAACCUGAUCAGUUCUCAUGUUACUUUGGCCAGUGAGCCAUGAAAUAAUAGAAGAGUUUAUUUAUUAAGCACUGAUCGAAACCAGAGAAGGACAAAAUAUAAAGAAUAAAAAAGGAAGAAGAAUAUUAACUAUAAACAGGUGAUGCAUAGGUCAUUCUAGCCAUUAAAGGGUUGAGAAAUGUUUCAGAUUGGAGGCGACACAAACUCCACCCAGACGGAUUUCAUGACAGAUUUUUCAAUCAAUACUAAAAGAAAAAAAAAAAUCAGUAAAGAUGAUUGGAAUAUCUCAAAAAGCUGUCAGUGAUAUUUUGUUGUGUGUCCACAAACUGUUGGGAAAUAACUUGUGAGAAGUAAACACUUUGCACUUAA